rnacentral:tRNA from 1 species
UGGGAUAUAGCUCAGUUGGUAGAGUGCUUGCCUCCCAUGCACAAGGUCCUGGGUUCAAUCCCAGGACCAUAA